rnacentral:rRNA from 1 species
UAGGGAAUCUUCGGCAAUGGACGAAAGUCUGACCGAGCAACGCCGCGAGAGUGAAGAAGGUUUUCGGAUCGUAAAACUCUGUUGUUAGAGAAGAACAAGGACGUUAGUAACUGAACGUCCCCUGACGGUAUCUAACCAGAAAGCCACGGCUAACGACGUGCCAGCAGCCGCGGUAAUACGUAGGUGGCAAGCGUUGUCCGGAUUUAUUGGGCGUAAAGCGAGCGCAGGCGGUUUCUUAAGUCUGAUGUGAAAGCCCCCGGCUCAACCGGGGAGGGUCAUUGGAAGCUGGGAGACUUGAGUGCAGAAGAGGAGAGUGGAAUUCCAUGUGUAGCGGUGAAAUGCGUAGAUAUAUGGAGGAACACCAGUGGCGAAGGCGGCUCUCUGGUCUGUAACUGACGCUGAGGCUCGAAAGCGUGGUGAGCCAACAGG